ACAAUGGUAGUGCAUGAGUGGAGUUUAGUGCUGCUUCUCCUACUAUAAGACAAAGCUCAGCUGAAGUCUCUUUCCUGCAAAGACUCCCCAGGUGCAGGCUACUCGUCAGGCAGACCAGUGACUCGGGCUCCCCAGGUGCAGGCUACUUACCAGCAGACCAGUGAUUCCAGUUCCCCAGGUGCAGGCUACUUAUCAGACAGACCAGUGACUCGGGCUCCCCAGGUGCAGGUUACUUAUCAGGCAGACCAGUGACUCGGGCUCCCCAGGUGCAGGUUACUUACCAGCAGACCAGUGAUUCCAGUUCCCCAGCUGUGUGGCCACUCUAGUCCCUAUGAAUUCUCUAGCUAUGCCUUUUUUGUGGCGAUCUCUGGGUGAAAGGAUCCCAGUGUCUACUGAGAAAGCAGGAUAAGCUUCAGCUUGAGGGCUUCAGGUUGUCUCAAGAUGAAAAGUUCAGGGAGAUCUACAUUCAUGCCAAGUGAAAGCAGCUGGCUUCUGUGCCUGUGGAUUUCCAACACAAGGCUUCAUCAUUCUGUCCAGCUGCUAACAGGUGGAUGGCUGUAGAUAAGUGACCAGGUAUGGAUGCUGUGACACCAGCUGAGGGCUUUGAGAUGUACAGUACGCAGAUCCUCAAGGGAAAGGUUCUGGGCUCAAUCUCUAGCUAACAGAAGCCUCAAUAGCUAAUUGUAAGCUUACAGCUGGCCCUGAAGCAAAGUAUCCAUUAUCUUCAUGCACAGCACCAGGAUGGAAGGAGCCACCUAACAUGCCUGGAAUUCUGCAUUAUG